rnacentral:rRNA from 1 species
GCAGUCGAAGAGAACGGAUUAUAGCUUGCUAUAAUUGUCAGCUAAGUGGCGCACGGGUGAGUAAUGUAUAGGUAAUAUGCCUCUUACUAAGGGAUAACAAAUGGAAACGUUUGCUAAUACCUUAUACUCCUUAUUAACAGAAGUUAAUAAGGGAAAGAUUUAUUGGUAAGAGAUUAGCCUGUAUUGUAUCAGUUAGUUGGUGGGGUAAUGGCUUACCAAGACUAUGACACAUAACUGGUUUGAGAGGAUGAUCAGUCACACUGGAACUGAGACACGGUCCAGACUCCUACGGGAGGCAGCAGUGGGGAAUAUUGCACAAUGGACGAAAGUCUGAUGCAGCAACGCCGCGUGGAGGAUGGCACAUUUCGGUGCGUAAACUCCUUUUAUAUGAGAAGAUAAUGACGGUAUUAUAUGAAUAAGCACCGGCUAACUCCGUGCCAGCAGCCGCGGUAAUACGGGGGGUGCAAGCGUUACUCGGAAUCACUGGGCGUAAAGAGCAUGUAGGCGGAUUAAUAAGUUUGAAGUGAAAUCCUAUAGCUUAACUAUAGAACUGCUUUGAAAACUGUUAAUCUAGAAUGUGGGAGAGGUAGAUGGAAUUUCUGGUGUAGGGGUAAAAUCCGUAGAGAUCAGAAGGAAUACCGAUUGCGAAGGCGAUCUACUGGACAUUAUUGACGCUGAGAUGCGAAAGCGUGGGGAGCAACAGGAUAGAUACCCUGUAGUCACGCCCUAACGAGUACACUAGUUGUGUG